rnacentral:ncRNA from 1 species
AAUAAUGUAGAUAACGGAAGUCGGUAAAUUAGAUUCGUAACUUCGGGAUAAAGAUUGGCUCUGAAGGUUGAGAUAGUCGGACUUGAAUCGAAAGCAAAAAUAUGGUUUAUGU